rnacentral:lncRNA from 1 species
GCCGUUCAAGUCUCAUAAUUCAUCUAAAAUUAUGAUCUACAUGUUUGUUUACUUUUUAUGUACUGUUUAUUUGGUUUUUAUUAGUCUUUUUCUUUGUUUUGCGUGUUAGCUUGUCGUUUCCGUCGUUGCGAAGGUUUACGAGUGCGCCGGAAGUAUCCAAGAAGAUUAAUUGAAGACCGAUUAUUGCAAGGCAAGUCACACAGAUCCUAAACACAAUCCUUUGAGCAUGUUGAUCCUAUAUUUAAAUUCUCUAUUUAUUUCAACUGUGCAUUUAUUUUCGAAUGUCACUGGGUGGUGUGAAUCUAUUCCUUUGUUAUGGCCUGUUUGCAUUGAUUACUUUAUUCCUUGAUACCUUGGGUUAUUAUAACUUGACUAGUUGGGCUAUAUAUAUUGGUUCAGCUAGAUAUUAGAUAUGAUUGCUUAGCCAUGCUUAGAAACAUUAGCACACUAUUGGGAUAAUUAAUGUUUCAUUAUUAUUUAAUGAUGGCUUAAUGAUAGCUCGCGAUGGUCAAUCGUGAUUGGUUAAUUAAUUACUUGCCAACUAAAACUUGAUAAUGGUGGGUUGUGAGCACAUGGUUUUGAGAGUCGUGCUCAUGACAAUUAAGGACCGGUUCGCGAGCUACUGUUGUGAAACAUUAACCGUGCCAACCACAAGCCAGCGUGGGCAACGGCUUUACCUUUUGUAUAGCAUGAUUCAUUGUGGAGCACCAGACUGAGAAGUGGCGGAGAUAAGCCCACGGGGGUCGCUGGGGAGUCCAUGCCUUGUUUAUAAGGGGGUGAUUAUGAUCCAGGAAAGGUGCGCUGUGGUGGAUUAUGUUGUGCAAGGGGUAUUGUCAUAGCUCCUUUCCGAGGUACCGUGGUGGUAUUGAGGCACAUGGUGACAUGUUGUGGGGCUGUGUCUUGUGGGUACAGUGGUACACCUCUGGCCAGAGUAAAACUAUUUGAAUAGCCGUGCCCGCGGUUAUGGGCGGGUUGAGCAAUGUUUUUCGUGAUUAGUCUCACACCUCUCACAAUAAUUAUGGAUGUUAUACCUGGUAAUAAUUUGCUUAGCUCCUGAUUUGGAGUUAGAUCUGUACAGCCGGGUAUGGUUGUUCAGGAUGGUUGGGCCUGUGCAGCAUGGGUGUGCUGUUCAGUGUUGAUUAAAAUUUCUGAUUAAUUACUCUACUGUUUUACUACUCUUAACUCUUUGCUAAAUGCUGCUUUCGCAAAUGAGACUAUAUUAUGCCAUCCUUUGGUAUCCUUGUGCACUUGCAUAUUUGCUGUGUGGCUUGUUGAGUAUGUCAUAUGCUCAUUCUUGCAAUAAUCAAUCAACCUCAGUUGAAGAAAAAGGAUCUAGAAGGAGAAGACGUUUGGCUUAUACCCCAGUUGAGCUGCCUGUGGGAGUGGAGCCGGAGCUUCGCUAGAUUUUAUUUUCCGCUGCAGUUUUCUUCAUGGUGAGGACUAAGUGCCUCUUAAGUAAGUAUUUAUCGUUUUAGUUAAUUGGAUGAAUCUGUAUAUUAAAUUGUCAGUUUGUGUACCUCGGCUGAUUCCUGGACGAGGAUUUUAUGCACAAAUAAGUUCGGAAAUUACUAGUGAAUUUUCGGGCGUG